AUUGAACGCUGGCGGCAGGCCUAACACAUGCAAGUCGAACGGUAGCACAGAGAGCUUGCUCUCGGGUGACGAGUGGCGGACGGGUGAGUAAUGUCUGGGAAACUGCCCGAUGGAGGGGGAUAACUACUGGAAACGGUAGCUAAUACCGCAUAACGUCGCAAGACCAAAGUGGGGGACCUUCGGGCCUCACACCAUCGGAUGUGCCCAGAUGGGAUUAGCUAGUAGGUGGGGUAAUGGCUCACCUAGGCGACGAUCCCUAGCUGGUCUGAGAGGAUGACCAGCCACACUGGAACUGAGAGACGGUCCAGACGCCUACGGGAGGCAGCAGUGGGGAAUAUUGCACAAUGGGCGCAAGCCUGAUGCAGCCAUGCCGCGUGUAUGAAGAAGGCCUUCGGGUUGUAAAGUACUUUCAGCGGGGAGGAAGGCGGUGAAGUUAAUAGCUUCACCGAUUGACGUUACCCGCAGAAGAAGCACCGGCUAACUCCGUGCCAGCCGCCGCCGUAA
rnacentral:rRNA from 1 species